UACGGAGGGAGCUAGCGUUAUUCGGAAUUACUGGGCGUAAAGCGCACGUAGGCGGCUUUGUAAGUAAGAGGUGAAAGCCCAGAGCUCAACUCUGGAAUUGCCUUUUAGACUGCAUCGCUUGAAUCAUGGAGAGGUCAGUGGAAUUCCGAGUGUAGAGGUGAAAUUCGUAGAUAUUCGGAAGAACACCAGUGGCGAAGGCGGCUGACUGGACAUGUAU
rnacentral:rRNA from 1 species